rnacentral:rRNA from 1 species
AUUGAACGCUAGCGGGAUGCUUUACACAUGCAAGUCAAACGAGUGGCGGCCGGGUGAGUAAUAUAUCGGAACGUGCCCAGUAGCGGGGGAUAACUACUCGAAAGAGUGGCUAAUACCGCAUAAUAUUGUCGCGUCCGAUAUCGGAUUAGCUAGUUGGUGGGGUAAAGGCUCAACAAGGCAACGAUCCGUAGCUGGUGUGAGAGGAUGACCAGCCACACUGGGACUGAGACACGGCCCAGACUCAUACGGGAGGCAGCAGUGGGGAAUUUUGGACAAUGGGGGAAACCCUGAUCCAGCCAUCCCGCGUGUAUGAGAAGGCCUUCGGGUUGUAAAGUACUUUUGGCAGAGAAGCGGUAUCUGAAGAAUAAGCACCGGCUAACUACGUGCCAGCAGCCGCGGUAAUUC